rnacentral:miRNA from 1 species
UCAAGCAUCAUAUCGUGGACA